rnacentral:rRNA from 1 species
AGAGCGAACGCUGGCGGCAGGCCUAACACAUGCAAGUCGAGCGCCCCGCAAGGGGAGCGGCAGACGGGAGAGUAACACGUGGGAACGUACCCUUUGGUUCGGAACAACACAGGGAAACUUGUGCUAAUACCGGAUAAGCCCUUACGGGGAAAGAUUUAUUGCCAAAGGAUCGGCCCGCGUCUGAUUAGCUUGUUGGUGAGGUAACGGCUCACCAAGGCUACGAUCAGUAGCUGGUCUGAGAGGAUGAUCAGCCUCACUGGGACUGAGACACGGCCCAGACUCCUACGGGAGGCAGCAGUGGGGAAUAUUGGACAAUGGGCGCAAGCCUGAUCCAGCCAUGCCGCGUGGAUGAUGAAGGCCCUAGGGUUGUAAAGUCCUUUCGACGGGGAAGAGUAAUGACGGUACCCGUAGAAGAAGCCCCGGCUAACUUCGCGCCAGCAACCGC